GAUGAACGCUGGCGGCGUGCUUAACACAUGCAAGUCGAACGCUUCACUUCGGUGAAGAGUGGCGAACGGGUGAGUAAUACAUAAGUAACCUGGCAUCUACAGGGGGAUAACUGAUGGAAACGUCAGCUAAGACCGCAUAGGUGUAGAGAUCGCAUGAACUCUAUAUGAAAAGUGCUACGGGACUGGUAGAUGAUGGACUUAUGGCGCAUUAGCUUGUUGGUAGGGUAACGGCCUACCAAGGCGACGAUGCGUAGCCGACCUGAGAGGGUGACCGGCCACACUGGGACUGAGACACGGCCCAGACUCCUACGGGAGGCAGCAGUAGGGAAUUUUCGGCAAUGGGGGAAACCCUGACCGAGCAACGCCGCGUGAAGGAAGAAGUAAUUCGUUAUGUAAACUUCUGUCAUAGAGGAAGAACGGUGGAUAUAGGGAAUGAUAUCCAAGUGACGGUACUCUAUAAGAAAGCCACGGCUAACUACGUGCCAGCAGCCGCGGUAAUACGUAGGUGGCGAGCGUUAUCCGGAAUUAUUGGGCGUAAAGAGGGAGCAGGCGGCACUAAGGGUCUGUGGUGAAAGAUCGAAGCUUAACUUCGGUAAGCCAUGGAAACCGUAGAGCUAGAGUGUGUGAGAGGAUCGUGGAAUUCCAUGUGUAGCGGUGAAAUGCGUAGAUAUAUGGAGGAACACCAGUGGCGAAGGCGACGAUCUGGCGCAUAACUGACGCUCAGUCCCGAAAGCGUGGGGAGCAAAUAGGAUUAGAUACCCUAGUAGUCCACGCCGUAAACGAUGAGUACUAAGUGUUGGGUGUCAAAGCUCAGUGCUGCAGUUAACGCAAUAAGUACUCCGCCUGAGU
rnacentral:rRNA from 1 species